AAUAUGGACCCUCCGUUCGGAAUUACUUGUCGCAGAAAUGGAUGUAUCUAGAUGCAUUUUAGUUCUAGAUACAUCCAUAUCCAAGACAAGUAAUUCUGAAUGGAGGGAGUACUUU
rnacentral:pre_miRNA from 1 species